UUCGACUAGUAUGGCCCCAGGCUUCGCCAAGUCCUGUUUAUUUAAGACACACAAAAAUUAAAGUGAGACGACAAGAUACAAAUUCUCAUUGGCCAGUCAGGGAUGGUUUAUUUGAAACUAAAACAAAGAAAACCAAACACUUUAAAACGUUUUCUAGUAGUUGAAUAAGCGGAAAUAAUUCCCUUGUUGAGUAUUUUAAAAUCUAAUUCCUGUUUGGGGAGGGGAUAUCUAUGUUGGAAUUACCAGUAAAAUUCAUUAAUAAGAACUGAGUGAACUCAACUAAGCCAGGGAACCGGCUCCAGAUAAAACGCUAUUCAACCUGGACAAUGGCUUCUAGAAAGUAUAGGGUGACCAGAUGUCCUGAUUGUAUAGGGACAGUCCCGAUAUUUGGGGCUUUUUUUAUAUACGGGCUCCUAUUACUCCCCACCCCCUGUUCCGAUUUUUCACACUUGCUAUCUGGUCACCGUAAGAAAGUAGCUUCCCGGAAUAAAAGGUAGUACAAUAUCUUUGCUUCUGACCUCAUUGAAAAAUUACAGAACAACAUUGCGAGGUAUCAAAAUGAGACCCAAAAAGAAAUAUUUAAUUUCAACAGAAUGAUGCGGUUAACAGGACUUGAAUACAGUUCAGAACGAUUUAAGUGUUAUAAAGCCAAUGAAAUACAGCAUUGCUGUUAUUCAGUAUUAUUCGAUUAGAGAAGGAUAACUCAGCUGCAGUGUCGCGACAGCACCAGACAGUGCAUAAAUGUACUUCCGAAGCGGUCGGAGUCACUCACUAACCAAGGUACCAGCUCCUCUCUUCCCAAUCAAACCCUCUUCCCCACGACAUACAAGGCCCUCUCUCUCCCAUUGAAGGAAUGAACUCUCUUCACUGUGAAUGAUCUGCUUCCAAAUACUCCAUCUAGUUGGAUUCAACAAGGAAUCUCCCCGGACGUUGCUAAUGUUUCAAUGUGUGCUUGUUUUCCUAUAUGCAAAAGGCUAGGGAAAGGAGCCGGAUGGAACGGACUGUGCCGGAGUUAAAAGGCAUUACCCAUAAACAGUUUAACAAUGCCGUUGCUGAAAUAAUUUCAAUUUAGCGAUUAAAACCUUUUAUGCUUACACCAUUAAA